GAUGAACGCUAGCGACAGGCUUAACACAUGCAAGUCGAGGGGCAGCAUAGAAGUAGCAAUACUUUGGUGGCGACCGGCGCACGGGUGAGUAACGCGUAUGCAACCUACCUAUCAGAGGGGAAUAACCCGGCGAAGGUCGGACUAAUACCGCAUAAAACAGGGGCACCGCAUGGUGAUAUUUGUUAAAGAAAUUCGCUGAUAGAUGGGCAUGCGUUCCAUUAGGUAGUUGGUGAGGUAACGGCUCACCAAGCCGACGAUGGAUAGGGGAACGGAGAGGUGGGUCCCCCACACUGGUAAUGAGACACGGACCAGACUCCUCCGGGAGGCAGUAGGGAGGAAUAUUGGUGAAUGGGCGGGGGCCUGAACCCGCCAAGUCGCGUGAAGGAAGAAGGAUCUAUGGUUCGUAAACUUCUUUUGCCGGGGAAUAAAGUGCGGGACGUGUCCUGUUUUGUAUGUACCCUGAGAAUAAGGAUCGGCUAACGCCGUGCCAGCCGCCGCCGCGG
rnacentral:rRNA from 1 species